rnacentral:piRNA from 1 species
UGCACUGGACUACGCCAAAACCACACUGAC